UCAUACAUGGGUUCAUCACGUGGUGGU
rnacentral:sRNA from 1 species